UUCUCUUUUUGGUUUUAAUUAUUUUGUUUUUACGAAUUGCUUUCAUUUUUGACAUUGUUUCUUGUUCUGCCACCCGCCGACCGACCGAAAAGCCAUUAGCUGGCACUAGCUACUAUACCCCCAAUCUUGAUGUUUUUCAUUUACUUUUGUUUUUACUUCUUGUUUUGGCACAAGCAAUCCAAAAAUGUUUCGAAUUGAGUAAUUAUUAUGCAAAGGGAGGCGUGCGCGCUCGAAUACAAGCUCUUUACAACAGCAACAACAAAAAGCAUACAAAAAGUAUAACAGAAGCACAACGCCAGCUGUAAGUACUUUGGCACUGCUUUGUAUGCAUGCUAAUAGUUGCUGUCGGGUGGUAGCAGAGAGUAUGCCUUUGCUUGAAUGCUUUUGAGGGUGGUCGCAUCUGUCUGCUUAAGGCGAAAGUAGAAAUCACAGACAUUGAAUUAAAUUUCAAUCAGCCACGCUGAUAAGCGCGCUUAUUAAAACAAAAUACGAAGAAGAUGAAUAAACGAAGGAAGGCGGCAAGGCACACUUAAGAGUCAGCAGCGGAAGAUAACAAGUGGCUGUGAGGACAUCAAUGGAAGCGUCUUCAAUCGAAUUCGUCUGCAAUCGAACGGAAAUUGGUAAAUUCGGAGUACGGAAAUGAAAAUGAGAGUGCAAUAUUGAAUGAAGCGGAGCAAGCUGCUUAACAUAUUGGUUUAUUCAAUUUAUUGACAUAGCCAGGUUAUGCAGCUUACGACAAGUGGCUCAAAUAUGAAAUCCUUAUAAGUUGUGUUGUUGCUGUUGUACCGACAUAAGAUAUUCCGUCUUAAGCAGCAAAGGACGAUCUCUCAAUCUAUAUUCUGAAAGGACGAUCAUGUCGCGGCGUUUGGACGGCGAACGUUUUUUAAACACACCAAAGUGGUUUCAAACGUCAAGAUUUUGCAGAAACUCUCCAUUAGGUGCCUCAGGCGUCACUUUAUGACAUGUAGAGUUGACAUUCUGUUUAUUACGCAGUAGUAACCUUUAAAUGAGAAUAUUAUACUAAUUCACUGGUUACACUAGUUAGGUAGAAUCCUUUAGUAGACAAUACGAGACGUCACGUGAUGGUAUACGCAACUACUAUUUGACAAAUCUCAUGCAACUAGCUUUUUCACAGUGACCUAACAUUAGAAAGUACCGACCGACCAAUGGUUUAAACAUUAUCAGACACACACUUAACCGUUUUAUUCGAUUUUCAAAUGCUAUUAAUAUACCAAUUAGAUUCCUUCAUGUGGAAAUUCCAGCACAGAAAUAUUAUAAAAGCAAAAAUAACGAUAUCAUUACACAUUCACUAAGCAACAGUUGAGUCGAGCAAUAAAUACAGAAUAAACACGUUGCAAUAGGAAGAGCUAUUAAUAUGAAAAAAAAGAAACGAAUAAAGCAUAGAAUAAAUAAUUGAACUAGCACACUAUGUAUCGUAGUAUAUCGGAAAAGCCACCCUUAACUCCAAAUGACUCCUUCCAAUACAGCCAGACAGCUGCCAUUAGCGCAUGCAAACACAACUCACUCUUGUGCCCGCGUUAUUUUGAAGAACACCUCAGCAAUCAACUGCAAUUAACUGAUACAAAUAAAAGAACAACACAAGCGUAUAAGGACAACGUAACAACAAUGUGAAUGUCGAUAGUAAGGAUGUUAAGUGACGAAGAAGGAAGCAAAAGCAACCGAAUAAUGAACGGUAUGAGCGCCAAGCGGCAGACGGUAGCGCACACACACAAGUGGAUAAGGGAGAAAAAUCAUUCAGACGAUAAGUAGUCAAAGUUGGUGUAGUAAGCGGUGGAGCAUGGAAGCUAGUAGACGACUCAACAAACAAACACAGAGCGAUGAUGAUGAAAGCAGUAGCAACAUGGAAACAGUGCGUAAUAUUCCGGCAAGUGAGUGUAGGAACUCAUACAGAGUGUGUUUUGUGCGCUAGGUCUCAUCUGGAAUUUUGUGCUCAAUUGAAAUGAUGGCACUGGCGCUUCAUACUGCUGCUGCUGAUGUUGAUAGUGUUGUUUGUAUAUUUAGUUAUAUUACAAAAACAUCCCUACUGAUGUAUUUGCACGAGUUCAGCUCGGCAACUGGCCAAGUAGCUAUGUAUUAGGAUGUUUCUACGCCUGACAUUGCGGUCGCCCGUUUACUUGGUUAUGCGUGUACAGCGGAAACGGAAAUAGUAGUAAGCUGAUAAAAAAUACGAUGCGCACAAAACGUAGACGGGAAAGAUGUGGACCAAAAUGUGAAAGUGUUGUUAGUGUUUCAACCAGCAACAAUAUGCAAUACUAAAGAAUGAAAAACAUAGUAGAUGAAGUAAAAUGGGAAAAAUGAUUGAUACUCAGCAUUUUGAAAGCAGACGAGUUUUGAGGGUUGAAAUGUGUUCACAUAGUUUGGAGUGCUUGGAUGGUAGACAGAAUGACUUAAGUAUGAACGAGUUUUAAAGUGAGACAGCAAAACAGGUGUUGCUUGUAUUGAAAAUAAUUCCUUCUACUAUGUAGUAUAUUUAUUUGUUAAAGAGGAAAAGCUUCAAUUCUUAAAAUGAUUUUGAUAUCUAUUAACAUAUCGAGAUCAACUUAAAUAUUUUGUAAUAUAAAAUUUAACAGAUUAUAGAACUUGUUUAAUGACACACAUUUUUACAAGCUAGAAUAUUUGUUCUUUCUAAACAGAAAAGCCGGAUCACCAUUAGUUUUUAGUUACUUUGAAAGCAGGUUGGCAACACCUGGACACAACUACACGAAAUUGUUUAUAGAAAAAUUAAUAAAAAAAAACUUGUUAUCUUCAUAAGUACAUAUAUAAAUAUGUCACUAUGAAAAUUAUACUGGCUCACAAAAACUGUUUUUAUGAAAGACAACAUUUAUGUUAAUAUACACAAUCUAAAAAACAAUAAAAUGCUUAUUGUCUUCUUUUAAGUAAAACGAAAAAAUUUGCUUAUGGAACACAACACGAAAGCGAUAACUUGUGACCGCAUAGGAGUUUGUAAUGGCAAAGGGCUGUUGCUGAUAUGCCGUCAUGGACACUAAAACCACAAACAUAAGUAUAUAUAAAAACAUAUGUAUGUAUGUACAAAAUUUUACC